GAGAUGGAGCAACCAAUAGUUAUUGUCAUCACGCUUGUAUGUGUUUUGGUCUGUGAACAGCAAAGAGUCUUUGGGACAGAAAUGGACAUGAGAGUUAAAGCAGGAGACAGCAUCACUCUCUACGGUGACUGUGUCAUGCCAUUAGGAUCGCACGUUUUUUGGUUGAGAAACUGCUCACAUGAGCAUCAACCAUCUCUGUUAAUAGAGGCUGAUAACCUGUUCCAGGGGACAUUUCCACGUUUUAAUUUCGUGCUCAACAGCUCCAGUAACUCUUAUGAUCUACACAUUACAAACUUCAGUGUCUCUGACGAGGGACUGUAUUAUUGUGCAAUAAAAGAAAGAAAAGUACACGAUGUACACAACAUCGUAGGCUCUGAUUACCAGUAUGGAAACAGAACGACUCGGCUAUCUGUCUUGGAACCAGCGUCUCCUCAUGCUGAGAGGUUAAACAGCACCUCCACAUCUCCUGUAUCAGAGCCCUGCUGGAACCCGCUGUUCAGUGUGUGUUCUCCUCUUCUCCGUCUGUGUUCUCUGCCUCUGUCGGAGGAAAACUACAGUUGCUGCAGCAACACAGACUGAGAACAGAUAUUACAAGGGUGAAGAUGAAGUGAGCUACGCCUCAUUGAACACACUUUCCAUGACUGCAGUGAAAACACAGACACUGCAGAAUUCAGAUUUCUGUACUUACACUGAGGUCAGAACCAAAAGAACACAAAGAGAGGAUUCUGGAAC